AAGAUUGAGAUGAAUUAUACCGAGCAGGAUGAAGCCAGAGGAAAUUCCGGUAGAAGUAAGAAGCCAUUCUGAUGUGCAAAUCGAUCGUCUGGAUUUGGUACAUUGAGCGAAAGACUGAUCGAACAAUCUAGUAG
rnacentral:ncRNA from 1 species